UUGCAUCACUACAAAGAUGAUCCCGCGUUGUAUUAGCUAGUUGGUGAGGUAAAGGCUCACCAAGGCGAUGAUACAUAGCCGACCUGAGAGGGUGAUCGGCCACAUUGGGACUGAGACACGGCCCAAACUCCUACGGGAGGCAGCAGUAGGGAAUCUUCGGCAAUGGACGAAAGUCUGACCGAGCAACGCCGCGUGAGUGAAGAAGGUUUUCGGAUCGUAAAACUCUGUUGGUAGAGAAGAACGUUGGUGAGAGUGGAAAGCUCAUCAAGUGACGGUAACUACCCAGAAAGGGACGGCUAACUACGUGCCAGCAGCCGCGGUAAUACGUAGGUCCCGAGCGUUGUCCGGAUUUAUUGGGCGUAAAGCGAGCGCAGGUGGUUUAUUAAGUCUGGUGUAAAAGGCAGUGGCUCAACCAUUGUAUGCAUUGGAAACUGGUAGACUUGAGUGCAGGAGAGGAGAGUGGAAUUCCAUGUGUAGCGGUGAAAUGCGUA
rnacentral:rRNA from 1 species